ACACGUAGGUGGCAAGCGUUGUCCGGAUUUACUGGGUGUAAAGGGCGUGUAGGCGGAGCGGCAAGUCAGAAGUGAAAUCUCUGGGCUCAACCCGGAAACUGCUUUUGAAACUGUCGCCCUUGAGUAUCGGAGAGGCAGGCGGGAUUCCUAGUGUAGCGGUGAAAUGCGUAGAUAUUAGGAGGAACACCAGUGGCGAAGGCGGCCUGCGGGACGACAACUGACGCUGAGGCGCGAAAGCGGGGGGAGCAAACAGGAUUAGAUACCCUGGUAGUCCACGCCGUAAACGAUGGAUACUAGGUGUGGGGGGACUGACCCCCUCCGUGCCGCAGUAAACACAAUAAGUAUCCCACCUGGGGAGUACGACCGCAAGGUUGAAACUCAAAUGAAUUGACGGGG
rnacentral:rRNA from 1 species